ACGAACGCUGGCGGCGUGCUUAACACAUGCAAGUCGAACGGUGAAGCGCCUUCCUUUUUGGUGGGUGUGGAUGAGUGGCGAACGGGUGAGUAACACGUGAGUAACCUGCCCCCUUCUUCUGGAUAACCGCAUGAAAGUGUGGCUAAUACGGGAUAUUCUGGGUCUGUCGCAUGAUGGGUCUGGGAAAGAUAUUGUUUCGGUGGGGGAUGGGCUCGCGGCCUAUCAGCUUGUUGGUGGGGUGAUGGCCUACCAAGGCGGUGACGGGUAGCCGGCCUGAGAGGGUGGACGGUCACACUGGGACUGAGCCACGGCCCAGACUCCUACGGGAGGCAGCAGUGGGGAAUAUUGCACACUGGGCGCAAGCCUGAUGCAGCGACGCCGCGUGAGGGAUGGAGGCCUUCGGGUUGUGAACCUCUUUCGCCAGUGAAGCAGGCCUGCCUCGUUUGUGGGUGGGUUGACGGUAGCUGGAUAAGAAGCGCCGGCUAACUACGUG
rnacentral:rRNA from 1 species